AAAAACAACAUAGCUAGGACGGUAAAAAUUUGGAACUUAACAAGCGGGUAAUAGCAAAUGUUAAUUCUGCUCACAGACACUAUGAAUUAGUAUCAGAUGAAGUGGGCGUGCCAGAACUCGGAAAUCGGAAUCAGAUGAUGAGAGUCGCGCGGCCGGCCCGGGGCGGGGAGGGUUCCGAACUUUUUGGAUGGCUGGCAGCACGCGGCCAGGGGGGUUUCGAGGGCGAGCGGCGCGUGGCCACGCCGGGGGUUCGAUGGCGAGCGGCGCGCGGUCGGGGGCCGGGGGGGGAGGGGGGUGACGGAGGCUGGGGUGACUCGGGUGAGAAACCAGGGCUUUUUUUUUUUAUUUUAUUGGGAAAGCUUCAAAUAGCAACCAUGAUCAAUUUAGUAUCACGUAAUUUUAUUUUUAUUUUUUUAUUAUCGAUUCCACUAAUUUUUUUGCUUAACAAAUGGCAAAGUUAAAACUAAAAGAUACUAAAAUGAGUAUUCGAAUAAAUCUAGAUGGGGUAUGAAAUUUUUUUGUAUAUAAUUUAAUAAAAUAUUAACGAAAAAGCUGAUAAAAAAAUAAAAAUAAAACCACAUAAUACUAAUUUUAUACACUUUAAACUAUAGAGUACUAAAGUGAGAAAGUGCGAUACCAUAAGGGGUGGUAUUUGAAGUUUACCCUUUUUUAUUUGAGCG
rnacentral:lncRNA from 1 species